AAGACCUCAAAUCAGGUGGGACUACCCGCUGAACUUAAGCAUAUCAAUAAGCGGAGGAAAAGAAACUAACAAGGAUUCCCCCAGUAACGGCGAGUGAAGAGGGAAAAGCCCAAAUUUGUAAUCUGGCUCUUUUAGAGUCCGAGUUGUAAUUUUGAGAACUGUUUUCUGUGCUGGACCAUGUUUAAGUCUGUUGAAAAACAGCAUCAUUGAGGGUGAUAAUCCCGUUCAUGAUAUGGACUACCAGUGCUAUAUGAUACAGUCUCUAAGAGUCGAGUUGUUUGGGAAUGCAGCUCAAAGUGGGUGGUAAAUUCCAUCUAAGGCUAAAUAUAGGUGAGAGACCGAUAGCAAACAAGUACCGUGAGGGAAAGAUGAAAAGAACUUUGGAAAGAGAGUUAACAGUACGUGAAAUUGCUGAAAGGGAAACAAUUGAAGUUAGCCUUGUUAUUUCCAGUUCAACCCUUUUAGGGUGUAUUCUGGUAAUUAACGACCAACAUCAGUCUUUGAGUGCUGGAUAAGGGUUUUGGAAAUGUAGCAGUCUAGGCUGUGUUAUAGUCCAUUACUUUGAUACAGUGCUUAGGAUUGAGGAUCGCAGUAA
rnacentral:rRNA from 1 species